rnacentral:rRNA from 1 species
UACGUAGGGGGCAAGCGUUGUCCGGAUUUAUUGGGCGUAAAGAGCGUGUAGGCGGCCAUGUAGGUCCGUUGUGAAAACUCGAGGCUCAACCUCGAGACGCCGAUGGAAACCAUGUGGCUAGAGUCCGGAAGAGGGUCGCGGAAUUCCCGGUGUAGAGGUGAAAUUCGUAGAUAUCGGGAGGAACACCGGUGGCGAAGGCGGCGACCUGGGUCGAGACUGACGCUGAGGCGCGAAAGCGUGGGGAGCAAACAGG